AACAAGACACCAUUCAAAAAGCAUCUUGGUACCACUGGUCUUUGCUAGUCCUAUUUGGCUUAUUCGCUCUCAUGAUACCGGUACUCUUGUUGAUUGAUACGGUGUUUUCAGAGAAAAAGUCAAGUAACAUGCUCUUGGAGGCAGUUGGCUUUCUCUUCGCAUACAAAGUUUUGCGGAGACGAUGAUAUACAGGAUUUUCGGAGUUUUCCAGUGAUGUAUUGCUUUCUUCGCAAUGAUGUUUACAGAUGACCGUCUUCCUUCAAGAAUUACUUCAUUUCCCAUCUUCCACAUAUUCCACAGUAUACAAAAACUCCACGUCGUGAUUGUCGUUUUUAUACAGCCAUGACUAAACUGUCUGCUUAACUUUGCCGGUUCCUGUUUGUCAUUAGAUUCGGUAUAAAUUCCACGCAAGGACAUCUCUGUUCAAGUUCUCU